GACGAACGCUGGCGGCGUGCUUAACACAUGCAAGUCGAACGGAAAGGCCCUGCUUUUGUGGGGUGCUCGAGUGGCGAACGGGUGAGUAACACGUGAGUAACCUUCCCUUGACUUUGGGAUAACUUCAGGAAACUGGGGCUAAUACCGGAUAGGAGCUCCUGCGGCAUGGUGGGGGUUGGAAAGUUUCGGCGGUUGGGGAUGGACUCGCGGCUUAUCAGCUUGUUGGUGGGGUAGUGGCUUACCAAGGCUUUGACGGGUAGCCGGCCUGAGAGGGUGACCGGCCACAUUGGGACUGAGAUACGGACCAGACUCCUACGGGAGGCAGCAGUGGGGAAUAUUGCACAAUGGGCGGAAGCCUGAUGCAGCAACGCCGCGUGCGGGAUGACGGUCUUCGGGCUGUAAACCGCUUUCGCCUGUGACGAAGCGUGAGUGACGGUAAUGGGUAAAGAAGCACCGGCUAACUACGUG
rnacentral:rRNA from 1 species